UACGUAGGGGGCAAGCGUUGUCCGGAAUCAUUGGGCGUAAAGAGCGCGUAGGCGGCCCUGUAAGUCCGCUGUGAAAGUCAAGGGCUCAACCCUUGGAUGCCGGUGGAUACUGCAGGGCUAGAGUCCGGAAGAGGCGAGUGGAAUUCCUGGUGUAGCGGUGAAAUGCGCAGAUAUCAGGAGGAACACCGAUGGCGAAGGCAGCUCGCUGGGACGGUACUGGACGCUGAGGCGCGAAAGCGUGGGGAGCAAACAGG
rnacentral:rRNA from 1 species